rnacentral:rRNA from 1 species
UACAGAGGUCUCAAGCGUUGUUCGGAUUCAUUGGGCGUAAAGGGUGCGUAGGUGGCGCUGUAAGUCAGGUGUGAAAUUUCGGAGCUCAACUCCGAAACUGCACUUGAUACUGCGGUGCUUGAGGACUGGAGAGGAGAUUGGAAUUCACGGUGUAGCAGUGAAAUGCGUAGAUAUCGUGAGGAAGACCAGUGGCGAAGGCGGAUCUCUGGACAGUUCCUGACACUGAGGCACGAAGGCCAGGGGAGCAAACGGG